UACGGAGGGUGCGAGCGUUGUCCGGAAUCACUGGGCGUAAAGCGUGCGCAGGCGGUUUUUUAAGCCAGAUGUGAAAGCCCCGGGCUCAACCUGGGAAUGGCAUUUGGGACUGCAAGGCUGGAGUUUGGCAGAGGAGACUGGAAUUCCUGGUGUAGCAGUGAAAUGCGUAGAUAUCAGGAGGAACACCGAUGGCGAAGGCAGGUCUCUGGGCUGAAACUGACGCUCAUGCACGAAAGCGUGGGGAGCAAACAGG
rnacentral:rRNA from 1 species